AUAGCGCCACCACAUCACCGAGUUUUCGUAAUGAAAUCCGCCAAGGGUUUAUGGGGAGCAAAGUGGACCGAAAACCCUUGGCUAGCGAAGAUGAUGAUAAAAUGUAUUAGAAUUAAUAACGAUAAACACGUUUGCAGACAAUGAUGUGGACGGAAAGGAAAAUGAAGAUUGUGUCACAGAACAAAGUCCGACUACAAUGGCAACAGCAAAAUUAACAACAACAUCCACAAGUUCAACAGCCAGACCAACUACACCAACUACAUUAUCGACACGGACCACAACAACAAAACAACCAACGACAAAGAGAACAACUAGAAUGGCAACAGCAAAAUUAACAACAACAUCAACAAGUUCAACAGCUAGACCAGCUACACCAACUACAUUAUCGACACGGACCACAACAACAAAACAACCAACGACAAAGAGAACGACUAGAAUGGCAACAGCGAAACUAACAACAACAUCCACAAGUUCAACAGCCAGACCAGCUACACCAACUACAUUAUCGACACAGGACCACAACAACAAAACAAGCCAACGACAAAGACAUGGAUCAGAUUAAACCGCAGUGGUUCACUUUGACGGAGAUCGGAAUAACCAGUGGCGUGGCUAUCGUUGUAUUGGGUGCCAUCGGGGCUUGCUGUAAGAAAUGCUGGGGUCUACUCAAAAACCGGGAUGACGAUGACGAUGAAGAUGAAAAACGAUAUAGACGAAAGAGAAGGAGUACGACCAAGCUGCCUAUCGGAGCCCCUAGUAUUCGACCCAUGUAUAUGUAGAUUUGCAAACAAUGUUUAAAGUGAUUGUUUAACUUAGCGUAGCAUUUGACUGUUAUGUUGUCGUAGUUAAGUUGUGAACCAUCGGGAUGUCCUGUAAGAAAGGCUGGAGUUUAUUUUGGGCCUGUAUGAUGCUGACAAUGAGGAUGGAGAAAAUUUAAAUAAAAGAGAAGAAAUACGUUCAAGCUAUCCUUUGGGAACCGUAGUAUUCGAACACAUGCAUCUGUACACUGGAUUUGGCAAUCAUGUGACAAGCAUUUUAUAAAGAUUUGAUAUUUAUCAUAGUAUGGUACCUUAGAUUUCAUUCUGAAAUAAAUGGAUUUGUGAC
rnacentral:misc_RNA from 1 species